UGCCGUCGCUUUGCUCGCUCACCGUUUGUGCGCUACCAUUCUUCUGUUCAGUUUUAGUUCAAUUCGAAACGCGUCUCAGCUCGGUUGUUGACCACGGUUCGACAUCAACUUCGAUUUCGACUGCGCUUUACGUAUAUCUACAAUAUAGAAACUGUGAUUGUGCUUGUGAGUGUAUUGGUAUUUGAAUGCCUGAGAGGAACAAGUGCGUCCGGCGCAACCUUAAUAGCCGAUCGCUCGUUUGUUCGGUCAUCGAACGGUUUCCAUUAGCAGAGCACGGCUCUAAAUCGGAAUUCGUUAAACGAGUAGCUUAAUAUUUGAUCAAAUGUGAA